UGCGUAGGUGGUGAGGUAAGUCGGAUGUGAAAGCUCGGAGCUCAACUCCGAAAUGGCAUUGGAAACUACCUUGCUCGAGGGUUGGAGGGGGGACGUGGAAUACUUGGUGUAGCAGUGAAAUGCGUAGAUAUCAAGUGGAACACCAGUGGCGAAGGCGAGUCCCUGGACAACUCCUGACACUGAGGCACGAAAGCUAGGGGAGCAAACA
rnacentral:rRNA from 1 species